rnacentral:RNase_P_RNA from 1 species
CAGACGGGAUAUAACCGCGUUGUUGUAUCUUGAUGAUAAGAUAUAAAAAUGAGAUAAAGUCCGGGCUCCUUCGGAAAAAAUGCCGGGUAACCACCGGGCAUAAUCUGGUAGUUGCAUAAUUUCUUGCAUAACCCGGAUUGUGACAGAUAGUGCAACAGAAAUUGUACCGCCUGAAAAGGUAAGGGUGAAAAGGCAGUGUAAGAGACUACCGCGUAAAUGGUAACAUUUACGGCUUGAAAACCUCAUUUGGAGCAAGAUUAAGCAGCAGUUAUGUUAUUCCGAGCAAUACUGUGGGUAAAUCGCUAGAGUCAGCUGGCAACAGUUGAUGCGGAUAGAUGGUUAUUGUGAAUACCUUUCGGUGUUCAUAGACAGAACCCGGCUUACAAUCCCGUCUGUUUU